CGGUUUCUGUGCGAUCACCAAAGUUAAGCAACGUCGAGACUGAUUAGUACCUAGAUGAGUGAAUGCUUGGGAAUACCAGGUGCUGUAAG